rnacentral:rRNA from 1 species
AAGACCUUACGCCUUUGGAGCGGCCGAUGUCUGAUUAGCUUGUUGGUGAGGUAAAGGCUUACCAAGGCUUCGAUCAGUAGCUGGUCUGAGAGGACGACCAGCCACACUGGGACUGAGACACGGCCCAGACUCCUACGGGAGGCAGCAGUGGGGAAUUUUGGACAAUGGGGGAAACCCUGAUCCAGCCAUGCCGCGUGAGUGAAGAAGGCCUUCGGGUUGUAAAGCUCUUUCAGCCGGAACGAAACGGUUACGAUUAAUACCUGUAACUACUGACGGUACCGGAAGAAGAAGCACCGGCUAACUACGUGCCAGCAGCCGCGGUAAUACGUAGGGUGCGAGCGUUAAUCGGAAUUACUGGGCGUAAAGCGUGCGCAGGUGGUUUUGUAAGUCAGAUGUGAAAUCCCCGGGCUUAACCUGGGAACU